GACGAACGCUGGCGGCGUGCCUAAUACAUGCAAGUCGAACGGACAGACCCUGCUCUUGUUGGUUUCUCGUUUGCCGAACGGGUGAGUAACACGCGUGUAACCUCUCCCUGACUUUCGGAUAUCUUUAGGAAACUCGGGCUCUUACCGGAUAUGAUCUCUUGCUCCAUGUUGUUGGUUGGAAAGUUUCGGCGGUUGUGGCUGUACUCGCGGGUUAUCAGCUUGUUGGUGUGGUAGUGGCUUACGAAGGCUGCGACGGGUAGCCGGCCUGGGAGGGGGACCGGCGACAUGGGGACUGAGAGACGGCGCAGACGCCUACGGGAGGCAGCAGUGGAAAAUAUGGCAGAGUGGGGGGGAGCGAGAUGCAGAAGCGCCGCGAGCGGAAUGACGGCCUACGGGUUGUAAACAGCUUUGGACUGUGACGAAGCGGGAGUGACGGUAAUGGGUAAAGAAGCACCGGCUAACUACGUG
rnacentral:rRNA from 1 species